rnacentral:rRNA from 1 species
CAGUCGCCGCGGGAAUACGUAGGGUGCAAGCGUUAAUCGGAAUUAAUGGGCGUAAAGCGUGCGCAGGCGGUUAUAUAAGACAGAUGUGAAAUCCCCGGGCUCAACCUGGGAACUGCAUUUGUGACUGUAUAGCUAGAGUACGGCAGAGGGGGAUGGAAUUCCGCGUGUAGCAGUGAAAUGCGUAGAUAUGCGGAGGAACACCGAUGGCGAAGGCAAUCCCCUGGGCCUGUACUGACGCUCAUGCACGAAAGCGUGGGGAGCAAACAGGAUUAGAUACCCCCGUAGUCCCUGUCUCUUAUAA